AGCUUUCUGAAUCCGCGCUUAGACUUCGUUAGACGUCAACGCAUUAGGGCUGAUGAGACUUCCAAGAUAAGUGAAGUU
rnacentral:pre_miRNA from 1 species